GCCGAAGUGGCGGAAUUGGUAGACGCGCAUGAUUCAGGUUCAUGUGAGGGCAACCUCGUGGAAGUUCGAGUCUUCUCUUCGGCACCA
rnacentral:tRNA from 1 species